ensembl:lncRNA
UAAUUAGCUCCAAAGGCAGGUAAAACUGCCAUGGUUAGACAAGGAGAGGGAGAGGAACAAGGAGAGGGACAAGGAGAGGGAGAGACAAGGAGACAGACAAGGAGAGGGUGUAUGUGUGUGUUACUUGUUCCAGUUGUGUGUAGAUGUGUGUCUCUGUGUGUGUUACUUGUUCCAGUUGUAAGUGUAUGUGUGUCUCUGUGUAUGUGUGUGUUACUUGUUCCAGCUGUAAGUGUGUAGAUGUGUGUCUCUGUGUAUGUGUGUGUUACUUGUUCCAGCUGUAAGUGUGUAGAUAUGUGUGUCUCUGUGUGUGUGUGUGUUACUUGUUAGAGCUGUAAGUGUGUAGAUGUGUGUCUCUGUGUGUGUGUGUGUUACUUGUUCCAGCUGUAAGUGUGUAGAUGUGUGGUUGUUCAUGUCCCACAGUAAGAUGUCCACAUAAGAGAACCUCUCCUGCGCUGGGCCGCUGUGUCUGCAGACUGAAGCAGCUGUAAAGGAAACUUCACCAAGACCUCCUACAAAAACCAGAAACGUCAUUAGAUAAACUCUUUUUCAUCUUGAUGUUCCUACGAGUUUGGGCGUAUUUAUUCAUCUUAUUAUAUUUGAUCAUUUUGACAUAUUCCUCGUUAUUAGAUCAAGUUUUUAAACCUAGUCUUAGUAUUUCUGCUGCAGAACAUCUGACUUAUUUCUCCAUUUCUAAAAAGAAGCAACAUCAGGUUAAGCUUGAAAACACGCCUGCAAACGUAUUUCAGGGUCAAUAUAAUCAUCGAAUAACGGGAAUAUUCAUCGAACAUUUCCUUCCUACAUUCUCCUUCAUCAAACAGUUUUUAUUUCAACACGAGUUCUUUUAUACCAAGAACCACAAAUGAACAGUUUAUUCUUUUUCUCCAUAAUGAACAUUAUACCUACAAAUCAUUUACUGCACGGGACUAAUGACCCAGUGAUAAAAACAUACACAUCGAAUCAAAUAAAUCUGAUCAUCUCCACGUUCUUCUUCACGGUUCACCGAGAUGGCAGCAGACCAACAUCUUUCACUUGGAGAAUUAACUUAACGAUACAGCUUUACCUCGGACUGUUAAGAAGCGCUGGCACUGGAGACUCCUUCCACACGUGUUAAACAAACCUCUCCUGACGGACGACUUUCAGAAAUAUAGUCUGGAAUUAGAAAGCUACAACGAUGACAAAUCAGCGCAUGACACUAUGGUGGAGUCAGAUCUGAUAUUUAAUGAAAAGGAAGAAAACAGGAGCAGAAGAAAAGCUCGGAGAGAAACGCUGUGCUGCAAACAUGUCCUCCUUCAUCCCCGUAUAUAUAUAUAUAUAUAUAUAUAUAUUACACACAUCUGUUCUGCUUAUGUACACGCCACAACCGUACACACUCCAUUUAUAACAGAUCACACACACACGUAGUGGCAGGAAGUGGAGAAACGCCGAACACACUAAAGACUGAAAACAGAGACAGAAUGAAGGAGACGUCGUGCACACAGGAACAGUUUCUGAAAGCUAAAUAUAAUAAUAUGCGUGACCAGAGAAGGCAGAUGUGCUGCUCAGAGGAAUUCGACACUGUGUCCACGUCUUCUGCAGAGUCAUGUGCCUUUAGCAAAGAACGAGAGCGCACAGGUCUCGGGUACUCGUCUUCUACA